rnacentral:rRNA from 1 species
GAUUCGUCACACUAUCAUUAACUGAAUCCAUAGGUUAAUGAGGCGAACCGGGGGAACUGAAACAUCUAAGUACCCCGAGGAAAAGAAAUCAACCGAGAUUCCCCCAGUAGCGGCGAGCGAACGGGGAGGAGCCCAGAGCCUGAAUCAGCAUGUGUGUUAGUGGAAGCGUCUGGAAAGGCGCGCGAUACAGGGUGACAGCCCCGUACACAAAAGCGCAUGUGCUGUGAGCUCGAUGAGUAGGGCGGGACACGUGGUAUCCUGUCUGAAUAUGGGGGGACCAUCCUCCAAGGCUAAAUACUCCUGACUGACCGAUAGUGAACCAGUACCGUGAGGGAAAGGCGAAAAGAACCCCGGCGAGGGGAGUGAAAAAGAACCUGAAACCGUGUACGUACAAGCAGUGGGAGCACCCUUCGGGGUGUGACUGCGUACCUUUUGUAUAAUGGGUCAGCGACUUAUAUUCUGUAGCAAGGUUAACCGUAUAGGGGAGCCGGAGGGAAACCGAGUCUUAAUUGGGCGUUAAGUUGCAGGGUAUAGACCCGAAACCCGGUGAUCUAGCCAUGGGCAGGUUGAAGGUUGGGUAACACUAACUGGAGGACCGAACCGACUAAUGUUGAAAAAUUAGCGGAUGACCUGUGGCUGGGGGUGAAAGGCCAAUCAAACCGGGAGAUAGCUGGUUCUCCCCGAAAGCUAUUUAGGUAGCGCCUCGUGAAUUCAUCUCCGGGGGUAGAGCACUGUUUCGGCUAGGGGGCCAUCCCGGCUUACCAACCCGAUGCAAACUGCGAAUACCGGAGAAUGUUAUCACGGGAGACACACGGCGGGUGCUAACGUCCGUCGUGAAGAGGGAAACAACCCAGACCGCCAGCUAAGGUCCCAAAGUCAUGGUUAAGUGGGAAACGAUGUGGGAAGGCCCAGACAGCCAGGAUGUUGGCUUAGAAGCAGCCAUCAUUUAAAGAAAGCGUAAUAGCUCACUGGUCGAGUCGGCCUGCGCGGAAGAUGUAACGGGGCUAAACCAUGCACCGAAGCUGCGGCAGCGAACGUAUCACCCAAGACAACUUUACGGAGUUGACGAUUGACGGAGCG